CGUGAUUUCUGAAUAGAAACAAAAACUAUGGCACAAAGAGUUCAGCUUGUAGAUUUAAACAUAGUUCUUUUCUUAUCUUUGACAUUUCUUGAGUAGUGAGAACUAAUGGUCUGACUCUACAGCAAAAUGAAGAUGUGUGGCUAUUUCUUGAUGCUGCUACUCGUUGGUGCUACAGAUGCCCUUACAUCCUGUCUGAAUUGUACAUAUGAUGAUGUCGAAUGCAAAGCUGAUUGCUUAAACACUCUAAAGGACUACUGCAUUUGCAAGGAAGAUACUUACGUGUGCUACAACUAUUGCAUUAAUCAAAUCAAACAGCUCAUCUGUUGUCCCGGAAAAUAAGAACAGAACAGACGUGAACUGUCAGCACGAGCUCCAUUGUUUAAGUUGCAAACAGUCAAAGACAAAUAAACUAAAUGAUAGGAUUUGUUUAUAUAACUUUUUGUCAUUGUAUUCUAUCGACAACGUUAAUGUGGCCUUCUUGUGCGAGGGUCAAUGUAUUUAUGUAUUAUUGUCUGUCUCUUAUUUAGAAAACAACAUAAAAAGAUUCGUUAAUGAA